GGGGCCGUAAAUGGUUUCGACGGGGGUAUAGAAGUAAGAUAAGCGAGUCGUUGUCGCCAAACAACGAUAAAAGUGGCAAAAAAUAUAAACGCAAAAGAAAAUAAUAAUUUAGCAUUUGCUGCGUAGUCAGCUAGCUUGUUCCCUUUAGACCACCUGCAGUCUAAAACGGAGCAUCAAUUGAAGCAGGACACUGUUUUAGGGGUUUCUCGACCUAUUAUAGUAUAAUUGGGGAUAGCAAGACGUAUAGCUUGCUUAUAGGCGAUACGUUAAGCGAAAUUUAAAGUAUAGGCUGCACUCGGAGAAAGUCUUAUGGAAAUAUUUUCGGACAGGGGUUCGACUCCCCUCGGCUCCACCA
rnacentral:tmRNA from 1 species